CAGCAGCCACGGUAAGACAGAGGAUGCAAGCGUUAUCCGGAAUUAUUGGGCGUAAAGCGCGCGCAGGUGGUUUAAUAAGUCUGAUGUGAAAGCCCACGGCUCAACCGUGGAGGGUCAUUGGAAACUGUUAAACUUGAGUGCAGGAGAGAAAAGUGGAAUUCCUAGUGUAGCGGUGAAAUGCGUAGAGAUUAGGAGGAACACCAGUGGCGAAGGCGGCUUUUUGGCCUGUAACUGACACUGAGGCGCGAAAGCGUGGGGAGCAAACAGGAUUAGAUACCCCCGUAGUCCCUGUCUCUUAUAC
rnacentral:rRNA from 1 species